GUCGACGUAGCUCAAUCAGGUAGAGCGCAUGAGCGGUCUGAAGCCGUCCCAUUUGGUUAUAGGUUCAAAUCCUAUCGGCGAUC
rnacentral:tRNA from 2 species